GAAUUCUUUUUCUAGAAGUUUUUAGGCAGAGGGAACAGCAUGAGCAAUAGCCCAGAGGGCACGUAUGGAGUAGAGCUGGCAGUUCAGUUUGGCAGGAGAGUGGGUUGUGCCCAGAGGAGUUAUGCAAAGGGAAGCUGGACAGGCGGUCUGUGCUCUGGCAAAGAAAUUUCAAUACCGUGCACAAUUCUGGUGGUGGAGGAACCACUGAUAGAUC
rnacentral:lncRNA from 1 species